AGUGAACGCUGGCGGCGUGCUUAACACAUGCAAGUCGAACGAGAACGGAUUAUAGCUUGCUAUAAUUGUCAGCUAAGUGGCGCACGGGUGAGUAAUGUAUAGAUAACCUGCCCUCUAGAAAGGAAUAACAGUUGGAAACGACUGCUAAUGCCCUAUAUGCCUUUAAUACAUAAGUAUGCAAGGGAAACGCUUUAGUGCUAGAGGAUGGGUCUGUAUGGUAUCAGCUUGUUGGUGAGGUAAUGGCUCACCAAGACUAUGACGCCUAACUGGUUUGAGAGGAUGAUCAGUCACACUGGAACUGAGACACGGUCCAGACUCCUACGGGAGGCAGCAGUGGGGAAUAUUGCACAAUGGACGAAAGUCUGAUGCAGCAACGCCGCGUGGAGGAUGACACAUUUCGGUGCGUAAAACUCCUUUUAUAUAGGAAGAUAAUGACGGUACUAUAUGAAUAAGCACCGGCUAACU
rnacentral:rRNA from 1 species